UGGUACCUGUUAGGGAUUGAGGGGCUUUCUGGAAUGUGCUUUGGCAUAUGAUUGCUGUAGAUAAGUGUUAGCUAGCAUACACCGUUGUAAUGGUCACAUAAGCCCACUGCUAACACAGUUGUCUUCAUGCUACAGCUUUUGCCAUUGACAGCCAUCAGUAUCAUUAAGCCCUGCACAACUACUGUGCUGUUUCUCAUUUAACAACAGGAAUAAAUGAUGCUCAACUGGGACCACUGGCUGAUGUGAUUUAUUAGGA